rnacentral:rRNA from 1 species
UCGAGAAUCUUCGGCAAUGGGCGCAAGCCUGACCGAGCGACGCCGCGUGCGGGAUGAAGGCCUUCGGGUUGUAAACCGCUGUCAGAGGGAAGGAAAGCUUCGGUUUGACCGAUCCUCAGAGGAAGUACGGGCUAAGUUCGUGCCAGCAGCCGCGGUAAGACGAACCGUACGAACGUUAUUCGGAAUCACUGGGCUUAAAGGGUGCGUAGGCGGUCUGCCAAGUUGGGUGUGAAAUCCCUCGGCUCAACCGAGGAACUGCGCCCAAAACUGGUAGGCUUGAGGGAGAUAAAGGUGAGCGGAACUCAGGGUGGAGCGGUGAAAUGCAUUGAUAUCCUGAGGAACGCCAGUUGCGAAAGCGGCUCACUGGGUCUCUUCUGACGCUGAGGCACGAAAGCUAGGGUAGCGAACGGGAUUAGAUACCCCCGUAGUCC